rnacentral:rRNA from 1 species
UACGAAGGGGGCUAGCGUUGCUCGGAAUCACUGAGCGUAAAGCGCACGUAGGCGGACUCUUAAGUCGGUGGUGAAAUCCUGGAGCUCAACUCCAGAACUGCCUUCGAUACUGAGAGUCUCGAGUCCGGGAGAGGUGAGUGGAACUGCGAGUGUAGAGGUGAAAUUCGUAGAUAUUCGCAAGAACACCAGUGGCGAAGGCGGCUCACUGGCCCGGUACUGACGCUGAGGUGCGAAAGCGUGGGGAGCAAACAGGG